rnacentral:rRNA from 1 species
CGAACGUUGGCGGCGUGCUUAACACAUGCAAGUCGUACGAGAACGUCCCGGCUUGCCGGGAUUAGUAAAGUGGCGCACGGGUGAGUAACACGUGAGUAAUUUCCCUCCAAGCUUGGGAUAACAUUGCGAAAGCGGUGCUAAUACCAAAUAAGACCACGGUAUCAUAAGAUACAGUGGGAAAAGGUGGCCUCUGUAUAUGCUAUCACUUGGAGAUAAGCUCGCGGACCAUUAGCUUGUUGGCAGGGUAAUGGCCUACCAAGGCGAAGAUGGUUAGCUGGUCUGAGAGGAUGAUCAGCCACACUGGAACUGAGACACGGUCCAGACUCCUACGGGAGGCAGCAGUGGGGAAUAUUGCGCAAUGGGGGAAACCCUGACGCAGUGACGCCGUGUGAGUGAUGAAGGUUUUCGGAUCGUAAAGCUCUGUCAGACGGGAAGAAUAAGGGUAGAGAAAAUAUCUCUAUCUGAUGACGGUACCGUCAGAGGAAGCACCGGCUAACUCC